AGUAGGUAAUUUUCCGCUUGCACCUGCACACACACAGAGCUUCAUUUUCAGCCAGUGACAUUCAUAAAACUUGCUGAUGCAGAGCUUGUAUUCAAGUUUUCGACCACACAUUUUAUCAGUUUUUAUCUCAACCUUCGUCAAACAACCCUUAGUAUUUAUUUGAGAAAGCUUUAAAAAACGAUAAAAUGUUGAUGUCGAAGUCAAUAAUUAAUUUUAAUUACAUGUUACAAUCCAUAAUUACUAUGCACUCUUCCACCACUCAUAUGCACCACUUCUUUUUAUCGAAAUAAGCUUUUUAGAACUUCCUAACAAACACUUAAACUAAUGGCUCAGCUCUGAAUCGUUUAUGUUUGUUAGGGAUCAACAGAUCAUUCUUCAAUACGUGCGAAUAGUGACUACAAGUAGAAGCAGCAUAGUUCAACAAGAGAGAAGAUCUCUAUCUGCACAAGAUGUGUUGGUCCAAAUGAAAUCAUAGUUUUCUCAAAACAGUAUUGAGAUGUCCUCGACAUCUAAUUCCAAUCUAUAUAGGAUACUGCCAAAAUCACUUCUUUCUUUGUGAUAUAAACUUUCGAAAUUGGAGCUGAAAGAGAGAGGUAGCCCACAUUUGAACCAAUCUAUAUUGUCGGUCAUCAACUAUCAAUGUCAUCGACCUCAAUUAUUCUCUUCAUUAAUCUUGUUUCUUCACGCGAGCGAGACGAACUGGGUGAAUAAUAAUAAUAAUAAUAAUAAUAAUAAUAAUAAUAAUAAUAAUAAUAAUAAUAAUAAUAAUUUGCAUAUAUAAUAGUUAAAUUUAAGAAUUAGAGAAUCAAGCUAUAUCCGACUGCCCUUAAAGAGAAUUCAGAUCUAAGAAUCACAUUGUCCUAGAAGUUGUCGAGAUUAUGGUUGAUGUCGUAAAAACUUUUAAAUCUGAGCUGAUUUUGCGCAAUUCCGACCCUUUAGUUAGGACGACUACAAUAGGCUAAUUACUUGUCGCUUCUAAUGAAGACCCAGAACUACGUUCAAUCACUCUAGGAAUCCCAGGAUACUGUAUUUGAAGGUCUCUCUAGAGGGUAUCUCCUUUUCAAUGUCUUUGCAACUAGUUUCUCCACGUGCACUCAUACUCAAAUGUGGCGGUGAGAUUGAGACGAUAGCCAUCUUUGAACUAAUUUUUGGACUCUCAAUUAACAGCUCGAAUCUUAUGCUCGAGGCUGGCAACAAGCAGGUGCAGUUAUGAUCUGUUGAAAUACUAUGAGUCUAUAAUACAAUAAACUUAUUUUAAUGCAUUAACAAAAAGAACUUUACCGAAAGUUAAAACUAAACAUUAGAUAUUACCUACAAAAACAAAGAUUUACUUUCUAAUUUCUGAUGAAGGAACUAGAAAGUAGAAAAGUAUCAUCGACAGCUCAAAGUUGAGCUAAAAGAACAGAUAAAGAUGAAGAAUAAAGGAUAAAAGCAUCUGUAUGAUCUGGGUCGUGUAUAAGCUUUAAUUUUUACUUCUAUAUCUAUCCACGUUCCACUACCCUUGUUGAAAUAGCUAAUGCAUUUCCUACAAAAAGGUCUCAAUAAAUUAAAAUUUUAAUAAUACAAUUGAAUAAACAAAUGGAGAGAAGGUAAAAGGGUGUGGUGGGGGAGGGGUGUCUGAAUUUCUGCAGUUUGCGCCUAAAGUCCUGAACAAAGCCAAGAAUCUUGAAAAGCAAGAAACUCAACCUAUUUUUGAAUUCUCAAAAAGCAAAUGCCUAAAGACUUUAAAUCAUUCCACACUAGUAGUGCCCCAAUCAAACCUCAAACCAAAUUAUGCCUUUAGUGUUUUCUAGAUUAUAAAAUGUAGGUUAACAAAGAAAUCAAGGUUUUAUAUAGAAGAGGUAGUAUAUACCACUACUAAGAAACUCACCAACCAGACAACUCUAGAAGCCAUACACGAGAAAUUCCAAAUCUCCAUUUAACCUCAACCGUUGGAACAACUGCUGAAGAUUUGUAAAGAAUCAUCUCCAGGCAUACUACUUAACGAGACACACCAUGAACAGUCGAGCAACUUUCAAUCCCCAAGAUGAAUUCAAAAUUAAGGACACAAAACCCCAGCUAGGGGAGCUGUGGGCACAUGGAGGAGUUCGCGGUGGGGGAGGUUGGAUCGGCAGUGACAGAGUCACAAGCACUUAUGACCUAGUUGAACAAAUGUAUUUUCUUUAUGUUCGAGUUGUUAAAGCAAGAGACCUGCCAACAAAUCCUGUGACGGGAAGCUGUGAUCCAUAUGUAGAGGUGAAACUCGGGAAUUACAAAGGCAGAACACAGCACUUUGCGAAGAAAACAAACCCUGAAUGGAACCAUGUCUUUGCAUUCUCAAAAGAGAAGAUUCAAGCAUCAGUUCUUGAAGUUUUUGUCAGAGACAGAGAGAUCAUAGCAAAAGAUGAUUAUCUUGGGAAGGUUGUUUUUGACAUGGAUGAAGUUCCUAUUAGGGUCCCACCAGAUAGCCCUUUGGCACCUCAGUGGUACAGACUAGAAGAUCGUCGAGGAGAAAGAAAGGUGAAAGGAGAGGUUAUGCUCGCUGUUUGGAUGGGAACGCAAGCUGAUGAAGCUUUUCCAGAAGCUUGGCACUCAGAUGCUGCUUCAGUUCAUGGAGAAGGUGUCUUCAGUGUCAGAUCAAAGGUGUACGUUUCACCUAAACUGUGGUACCUCAGAGUCAAUGUUAUAGAAGCACAAGAUGUAGAAUGUCAAGACAAAAGCCAACUUCCUCAGGUUUUUGUAAAAGCCCAACUUGGAAAUCAGAUGCUUAAGACUAAACUAUGCCCUACACUAACUACCAACCCUUUCUGGAAUGAAGACCUAAUCUUUGUAGUGGCUGAACCUUUUGAAGAGCAAUUAGUGCUCACAGUUGAAAACAAAGUGAGCCCUUUAAAGGAUGAACUUGUUGGGAGAUUAAGCUUGCCAUUACACAUAUUCGAGAGACGAUUGGAUCAUCGACCAGUUCAUUCUCGCUGGUUCGACCUUGAAAAGUUUGGGUUCGGAGUUCUAGAGGGAGAUAGAAGAAAGGAACUCAAAUUUUCAACAAAAAUUCAUCUCAGAGCUUGUCUAGAGGGUGGUUACCACGUGCUAGAUGAAUCAACCAUGUACAUCAGUGAUCAACGGCCAACUGCUAGGCAAUUGUGGAAGCAGCCAAUUGGAAUCCUUGAAGUUGGCAUCUUAAGUGCACAGGGGCUUCUACCAAUGAAAACUAAGGAUGGCCAAGGGAGAACAGAUGCUUAUUGCGUGGCUAGAUAUGGACAAAAGUGGGUAAGAACCAGAACAGUGGUUGAAAACUUCAGCCCCAAAUGGAAUGAGCAAUACACAUGGGAGGUUUAUGAUCCUAGCACGGUGAUCACAUUGGGAGUUUUUGAUAACUGCCACUUAGGAGGGAACGAGAAACCACAAGCUGGAAAUGGACCUGGAAGGGACUUCAGAAUUGGAAAGGUAAGAAUCAGGCUAUCCACACUAGAAACUGACCGUAUUUAUACUCAUUCAUAUCCACUCAUUGUCCUCCAACCAACUGGUGUGAAGAAAGUGGGUGAACUCCAACUAGCAUUUCGAUUCACGUGUCUAUCUCUCACACACAUGAUAUAUCUUUACAGCCGUCCUUUGCUGCCAAAAAUGCAUUAUCUGCAUCCUUUCACUGUAAGACAACUAGAUAGUUUGAGAUAUCAGGCGAUGAACAUUGUAGGAUCAAGGCUUGGGCGAGCUGAACCUCCUCUGAGGAAAGAGGUUGUGGAAUACAUGCUUGAUGUAGAUUCCCACAUGUGGAGCAUGAGAAGAAGCAAAGCUAACUUUUUCAGAAUGAUUUCAGUCUUGUCCGGGAUGAUCUCCAUAAGCAAGUGGCUUGGUGAUGUUUGUCAAUGGAAGAACCCCAUCACUACUAUUCUAGUCCAUGUCCUAUUUUGCAUAUUGAUCUGCUAUCCAGAAUUAAUCCUCCCAACCGUGUUUCUUUACAUGUUUCUGAUAGGCAUAUGGAAUUACCGGUUCAGGCCCAGGCAUCCUCCACACAUGGACACCAAACUUUCUUGGGCAGAAGCAGUUCACCUAGAUGAGCUAGAUGAAGAGUUCGACACUUUCCCCACCUCCAGGCCUCAAGAUGUAAUACGAAUGAGGUAUGAUAGACUAAGAAGUAUGGCGGGAAGAAUCCAAACAGUAGUAGGAGACAUGGCAACCCAGGGGGAGAGGUUUCAUGCUCUGCUCAGCUGGAGAGAUCCUAGAGCAACCAGCAUCUUCAUAGUUUUCUGCCUAUGUGUGGCAGUUAUUCUUUAUGUGACACCCUUCAAAAUAAUUAUAUUUUUAACAGGCUUGUAUCUACUAAGGCAUCCAAGAUUUAGGAGCAAACUGCCUUCAGCACCCAUCAAUUUCUUCCGCCGUUUGCCAGCUCGAGUUGACAGCAUGCUCUGAAAUGUCAUUUUACAAGUUCGUUGUUUCAAUGUAUCAAUCUGAAUUUUUUUAAUGUUCAGUUAUAUUUGUUUCCGUGCAUCAAACAUAUUUCUUCCAAGUAUUUUUUUUUCCUGUCAAUUUCGUCUCGGUGUACAGUUCUUCAACUGCUUGUUAGAGUUAAUUUGAUUUCUAGUUUCCUGUAUUCCUGUUGGUGACUCAAUCAAAACACCACAUCAAAUCAAGAAACGAUCUGGAACAUGCAAAUCCAAUAUUCCGAAGUACUUGAUGAAGUCCAUAAGGAACUAAUAACUAUAUAAUUAUACAAAUGCAUGAUGCCCAAAUAAACUUUAAGAAAAAACAGAACAAUUGUUGCAGGAACACAUAAUAACGUGCAUGCUCAGUAAAUAACUCAUAGUAUGCACAACAAUGGGUAAAUUUCUUCUUUCAAUAUACGUACAAGAAAAAAAAAUCAAAUAAUCUAAGGAAAAACAAUAAUCAUUGACGCCCAACGGUAAAUUGAUGAUACGAUGUGCUUGCAAUUGAAUAAUUCAUCAUCAUUGGAGGUCAAUUAAUCCUCAUUAUUAGUAGAGUAAAGAUUAGAGAAACCAACCACGUAAAAUUAAAGUCAAUUAAUAUAAAUACAGAGGUCCACAAUAAAAAAAAAAAAAAAAAGGAUACGCUGCCAAUUUAAUAGCUGAAAGUUUCCCCCAAAAAAUAAUAAUAAUAAUAAUAAUAAUAAAAUCUAAACUCAUGAGAUUACCACUAAAUAUAAGUGACCCGGACGAGAUAUUGCAUCAAUUUUAGUAGAAUCAACGGAUGGUCCAGAUGAAUCGACGUCGACAAUGCUCGUCUGUUCUCCAGUCCUUGUUCUGAUUUCUCCAGCUCGAGCCAAAGUUACAAAAUGAUAAUUCGAACGGAGGCGACUUCAGUUUCAAAU
rnacentral:lncRNA from 1 species